rnacentral:rRNA from 1 species
UACGGGGGGGGCAAGCGUUGUUCGGAAUUACUGGGCGUAAAGGGCUCGUAGGCGGCCAACUAAGUCAUACGUGAAAUCCCUCGGCUUAACCGGGGAACUGCGUCUGAUACUGGAUGGCUUGAGUUCGGGAGAGGGAUGCGGAAUUCCAGGUGUAGCGGUGAAAUGCGUAGAUAUCUGGAGGAACACCCGUGGCGAAGGCGGCUCUCUGGGACGGUACUGACGCUGAGACGCGAAAGCGUGGGGAGCGAACAGG